GGGCGCGUAGCUCAGAUGGUUAGAGCGCACGCCUGAUAAGCGUGAGGUCGGUGGUUCGAUUCCACUCGUGCCCA
rfam:Streptococcus suis 05ZYH33, complete genome.